UGACGGUGAAACAGAUUCAACCUUUCUUUAAUCUUCGCAUGAGGAAGUAGUAACUUGUGUCCGUGAUAAUUCCUGCGUUGCCAAAAAAGAGCAGUGAGUUGGAUACAAAGUUUCACCAAAGAAAGGCUGGAAUACAUUAGAACUGUCCAUAAACUUCAGAUAGGUUAUGAAAUCAAGGCUCUGUAACAGGCCCAGAGGAGCCGUGGCACCCAAUUAUACCUCUGUUACCCAUUAUCAGACCAACCCCUGGGUCUUUAGAAUGUGGCAAGGAACUAGAGACGUGGAAGAAGGUACAGAA